UACGGGGGAUGCAAGCGUUAUCCGGAAUUAUUGGGCGUAAAGCGUCUGUAGGUUGUUUAAUAAGUCCGUUGUUAAAGACUGGGGCUUAACCCCAGGAAAGCAAUGGAAACUGUUAGGCUAGAGUAUGGUAGAGGUAGAGGGAAUUCCUAGUGUAGCGGUGAAAUGCGUAGAUAUUAGGAAGAACACCGGUGGCGAAAGCGCUCUGCUGGGCCAUAACUGACACUCAGAGACGAAAGCUAGGGUAGCAAAUGGG
rnacentral:rRNA from 1 species